GCAGAGCGGGCAGGGAAGUCUGUCCGCCCCUUCGUGUCCGAGUGGGGCCGGGGACUUCGUCUCCGGAGCCCCCAGAGUCCCCACAGGCUCGGCGGGAGGAACUCGUUUGGAGCUCGGGAGCGCUCAGGACGCUCGCAGGCAUUUCAGAGCCUGAGGUUCGAAUCCCAGCUCCACCAGAGAGACUCCGCGACUUUGGACAACCGGUCUCGGGGCCUCAGUUUCCCCUCUAGGGUGAGGCACCCAGGAGGCGGAGGAAAAGGCUGUGGUUCCUUUACUAGCCCGACCCCUCGGGCGGUCCACGGCUGCUCUGCGUGGAGCUGACGCUCAACGAGGGUUGUUGAAUGAAUGUGUGUAAGGAGCCCUGAGAAGCCACAAAUCUUGGACACCUGGCUGGAGGAUCUGUCUGUCCUGGCCCCAGCGUCUUAGAGAGGUACCUGCACAGCAAUGGAUAUUUCCAGUUGUUCUCCAUUCUCGUCAACACUUGGUAUGGUCAGUCAUUUUAAUUUUAGACAUCUAACAGGUGAGUAGUGGUAUUGCAUUGUGGUUUUAAUAUGCAUUUCCCUAAAGAGUAAUGAUGUUGAGCAUC